CGGGGUUAGGAAAUACCUCGGAAACAUACCUGUAGGUCGGGGAUAGCGGCGGGAAACUGCCGGUAAUACCCGAUGAUCUGGAGAGAGCAAAGGUUUACUGCCUGGGGGAGUGGGCCGAGGGCGAUAUUAGCUAGCUGGUGAGGUAAUGGCUCACCAAGGCUUAGAUGUCUAGGGGGCGUGAGAGCGCGACCCCCACCACUGGGACUGAAAAACUGCCCAGACACCUACGGGUGGCUGCAGUCGAGAAUCUUCGUCAAUGGGGGAAACCCUGAACGAGCGACGCCGCGUGUGGGAUGAAGGCCUUUGGGUUGUAAACCACUGUCAGAGGGGAUGAAACCGCAAGGUUGACAGAGCCCCAGAGGAAGCACGGGCUAAGUUCGUGCCAGCAGCCGCGGUAAUACGAACUGUGCGAACGUUAUUCGGAAUCACUGGGCUUACAGGGUGCGUAGGUGGCCGGACAAGUCAGGUGUGAAAUCCCUCAGCUCAACUGAGGAACUGCGCUUGAAACUGUUUGGCUAGAGUGAGCUAGGGGUGCUUGGAACUGCCAGUGGAGCGGUGAAAUGUGUUGAUAUUGGCAGGAACACCGGAGCCGAAAGGGAAGCACUGGGGCUUAACUGACACUGAGGCACGAAAGCCAGGGGAGCAAACGGGAUUAGAUACCCCGGUAGCCCUGGCCGUAAACUAUGAGAACUGGGCGGGGGAGUGCUUGCACAUCCCGGCCGUAGCGAAAGCGUUAAGUCUCCGC
rnacentral:rRNA from 1 species